rnacentral:lncRNA from 1 species
AACAAAUUGACAGAUUUUCCCUCUAAAAAGAUAAAAUUCAGUUCAACAACUUCAAAGCAUUAAAAGGAAAUUCAGAGAAUCAAAACAUAGUUGAAUGCAUAUGUUGAGGGGGAGAAUCUGAAUUUUAAUCAAGCUAAAUCAUUAAUGACAUAUAAGCCGAACAAUUGAUUGCAUAAUAUGAGGGCUUAUAUAAUUCCAAAUGAAAGGGGGAGCUUUAACUCCGAAAUUUAAUGUUUCACUCCUUUCAAACUUGGAUAAAUUAAAUUAUCAGAUAUUUGAAUUCAUUUAUGGAUUUUACUUCAUUGUUUUAUGAGCAAUUCACUUUACAUAUACUCAAAGUUUUGUCAUCAUCAAAAAGGGGGAGAUUGUAGAGUGAUUGAUUAAAACCCCAUUUGAUUUUGAUGAGCUCAAAGUAUUUGAGUAUAUCUUGUGAUUACUAAUGAAUUCAAUUGAGUGUUUCAGUGAAAAUCCUGUCCAAGUGUUUCUAGACUUGGUUCAUAGUAUUUUGGAUAAGUUAAGAAGUCUGCAUGAACCAAUGUCUGAGACUCAAGUCGACUCCCGAGUAUCACGAGUCGACUCCAAGCGUAUCAAGCUCACUGGCACGAGCUCGAGUCGACUCCAGA